rnacentral:rRNA from 1 species
UUUUUGGAGAGUUUGAUCCUGGCUCAGGACGAACGCUGGCGGCGUGCCUAAUACAUGCAAGUCGAGCGGACCGGGCGGGAGCUUGCUUCCGCUUGGUUAGCGGCGGACGGGUGAGUAACACGUGGGUAA